CAAUAGCGUAUAUUAAAGUUGUUGCAGUUAAAAAGCUCGUAGUUGGAUUUCUGGUAGGAGUGACCGUUCCGAACUUGAUUGUUCGUGUAUUGUGUUUUCUCCAGCCAUCCUUGUGGAGAACUUUUCUUGCAUUAAUUUGUAGGGAUUGGGACCCGCAUCGCUUACUGUGAAAAAAUUAGAGUGUUUAAAGCAGGCAAUCGCUUGAAUACAUUAGCAUGGAAUAAUAAGAUAGGACUUUGGUACUAUUUUGUUGGUUUGCAUACCAAAUUAAUGAUCAACAGGAACAGUUUGAGGAUAUUCGUAUGAACAUGUCAGAGGUGAAAUUCUUGGAUUUUGAUCAGACGAACUACUGCGAAAGCAUUUAUCAAGGAUGUUUUCAUUAA
rnacentral:rRNA from 1 species